rnacentral:misc_RNA from 1 species
UCUUAGCCCUGAUUGAGCGGCAUGUCUGAGCUCUUUUUCUUUGAAAAGAAAAAAGCGAGUAGCGAAAGCAGGUACACCA